rnacentral:rRNA from 1 species
AGCAGCCGCGGUAAUUCCAGCUCCAAUAGCGUAUAUUAAAGUUGCUGCAGUUAAAAAGCUCGUAGUUGAAUUUUGGAUUCUUCCAAUUGGUCCAUCUUUUAGAUGAGUACUGGUUGUGUGGGGUCUAUCCGCCUGGUGAUACGUAAUGUCCUUUAUUGGAUGUUUCGGGUAGUCAGGACCUUUACCUGAAAAAUUAGAGUGUUUAAAGCAGGCUUAUGCCGGAAUACAUUAGCAUGGAAUAAUAGAAUAGGACGAAGUUGUUUUAUUUUGUUGGUUUCUAGGACAACCGUAAUGAUUAAUAGGGAUAGUUGGGGCGAUUAGUAUUCAAUUGUCAGAGGUGAAAGUUCUUGGAUUUAUUGAAGACUAACUACUGCGAAAGCAUUUGCCAAGGAUGUUUUCAUUAAUCAAGAACGAAAGCUAGGGGAUCGAAGACGAUCAGAUACCGUCGUAGUCUUAACCAUAAACUAUGCCGACUAGGGAUCGGGCGAUGUUGUUUCCAUGACUCGCUCGGCACCUUAUG